UCCUUAUCUCUUUCCCUCUCUCUCCUUCCAUGACCUCAACAAUGCAUCUCGCAAUCUCUUCUUUACUCGAAAGCCCUUCUCCAUCGGUCCUCACUCUAACCCCAAUCUUCCACACAUCCUCUAUAAACUUAGCAUUUGUGGGCUGAUCAGUCCACUGAGGCACGCCCACCAUUGGAACCCCUAAGCAUAGUGCCUCCAAUGUCGAGUUCCAUCCACAGUGUGACACGAAACACCCGAUUGAUUCAUGUGCUAAAACCUCUAGCUG